CCUCUUGCAAAAUCAACGAAUAAGAGGUCCCGCCUGCCCUGUGACUAUAUGUUUAACGGCCGCGGUAUUUUGACCGUGCGAAGGUAGCGCAAUCACUUGUCUUUUAAAUGGAGACCUGUAUGAAUGGCAUCACGAGGGCUUAACUGUCUCCCCUCCCCAGUCAAUGAAAUUGAUCUCCCCGUGCAGAAGCGGGGAUGAAAACAUAAGACGAGAAGACCCUAUGGAGCUUUAGACGUCAGAGCAGCCCAUGUUAAACAUCCCUAAACUUAAAGGAAAAAACCAAAUGAAGCCUGCCCUAAUGUCUUUGGUUGGGGCGACCGCGGGGAAAUACAAAACCCCCAUGUGGAAUAGGAACACAUGUUCCUAAACCCAAGAGCUCCCGCUCUAAUGAACAGAAAUUCUGACCAACAAGAUCCGGCACAUGCCGAUCAACGGACCGAGUUACCCUAGGGAUAACAGCGCAAUCCCCUUAAAGAGCCCUUAUCGACAAGGGGGUUUACGACCUCGAUGUUGGAUCAGGACAUCCUAAUGGUGCAGCCGCUAUUAAGGGUUCGUUUGUUCAACGAUUAAAGUCCU
rnacentral:rRNA from 1 species